rnacentral:rRNA from 1 species
UACAGAGGUGUCUAGCGUUGUUCGGAUUCAUUGGGCGUAAAGGGCGCGUAGGCGGCGCGCUAAGUCGGGUGUGAAAUUUCGGAGCUUAACUCCGAAACUGCAUUCGAUACUGGCGUGCUUGAGGACUGGAGAGGAGACUGGAAUUCAUGGUGUAGCAGUGAAAUGCGUAGAGAUCAUGAGGAAGACCAGUGGCGAAGGCGGGUCUCUGGACAGUUCCUGACACUGAGGCACGAAGGCCAGGGGAGCAAACGGG